AACGAACGCUGGCGGCAGGCUUAACACAUGCAAGUCGAACGGAUCCUCAGGGAUUACUGGCCGACGGGUGAGUAACGCGUGGGAACGUACACUUUGCUACGGAAUAACUCAGGGAAACGUGAGCUAAUACCGGAUGUGCCCUACGGGGGAAAGAUUUCUCUUCCAAGGAUCGGCCCGCGUUGGAUUCGCUAGUUGGUGGUGUAAUGGCCUACCAAGGCGAAGCUCCAUAGCUGGUCUGUGAGGCUGAGCAGCCACCCUGGGACUGAGCCGCGGCCCAGACUCUUACGGGAUGGACCAGUGGGUAAUAUUGGACUAUGGGCUCAAGCAUGAUCCAGCCAUGCUGCGUGAGUGAUGUAGGUCUUAGGAUUGUAAAGCUCUUUCACCGGUGACGAUAAUGACGGUAGCCGGAGAAUAAGCCCCGGCUAACUUCGUG
rnacentral:rRNA from 1 species